rnacentral:rRNA from 1 species
CCGGGGUCAACUCGGAGGAAGUGGGGAUGACGUCAAAUCAUCAUGCCCCUUAUGUCUUGGGCGUUCACGCAUGCUACAAUGGCCGGUACAAAGGGCUGCGAUACCGCGAGGUGGAGCGAAUCCCAGAAAGCCGGUCUCAGUUCGGAUUGGGGUCUGCAACUCGACCCCAUGAAGUCGGAGUCGCUAGUAAUCGCAGAUCAGCAACGCUGCGGUGAAUACGUUCCCGGGCCUU